rnacentral:tRNA from 2 species
UGCUCCGGUGGUCUAAGAUAAUAAGAUCCGCAAUGCAAAUGCGGGAUGCGGGUGUGAAUCCCGCCCGGGGCAA